UGGGGAAUAUUGCACAAUGGGGGAAACCCUGAUGCAGCGACGCCGCGUGGAGGAAGAAGGUCUUCGGAUUGUAAACUCCUGUUGUUGAGGAAGAUAAUGACGGUACUCAACAAGGAAGUGACGGCUAACUACGUGCCAGCAGCCGCGGUAAAACGUAGGUCACAAGCGUUGUCCGGAAUUACUGGGUGUAAAGGGAGCGCAGGCGGGAAGACAAGUUGGAAGUGAAAUCUAUGGGCUCAACCCAUAAACUGCUUUCAAAACUGUUUUUCUUGAGUAGUGCAGAGGUAGGCGGAAUUCCCGGUGUAGCGGUGGAAUGCGUAGAUAUCGGGAGGAACACCAGUGGCGAAGGCGGCCUACUGGGCACCAACUGACGCUGAGGCUCGAAAGUGUGGGUAGCAAACAGGAUUAGAUACCCUGGUAGUCCACACCGUAAACGAUGAUUACUAGGUGUUGGAGGAUUGACCCCUUCAGUGCCGCAGUUAACACAAUAAGUAAUCCACCUGGGGAGUACGACCGCAAGGUUGAAACUCAAAGGAAUUGACGGGGGCCCGCACAAGCAGUGGAGUAUGUGGUUUAAUUCGACGCAACGCGAAGAACCUUACCAAGUCUUGACAUCCCUUGACAGACAUAGAAAUAUGUUUUCUCUUCGGAGCAAGGAGACAGGUGGUGCAUGGUUGUCGUCAGCUCGUGUCGUGAGAUGUUGGGUUAAGUCCCGCAACGAGCGCAACCCUUAUGGUCAGUUACUACGCAAGAGGACUCUGGCCAGACUGCCGUUGACAAAACGGAGGAAGGUGGGGAUGACGUCAAAUCAUCAUGCCCUUUAUGACUUGGGCUACACACGUACUACAAUGGCGUUAAACAAAGAGAAGCAAGACCGCGAGGUGGAGCAAAACUCAGAAACAACGUCCCAGUUCGGACUGCAGGCUGCAACUCGCCUGCACGAAGUCGGAAUUGCUAGUAAUCGUGGAUCAGCAUGCCACGGUGAAUACGUUCCC
rnacentral:rRNA from 1 species